GUCAGGCGAUGGCGGAGGGUCCAGACCAGGGAGAGCCGGAGCUGGCGGAGGAGCAAGUGCUGGCGGAGGAGCAGGAGUGGGAGCCGGAGUAAGCGGAGAGUCAGGAGCCAGAACAAGGAGAGGACCAGGAUCCGGAACAGGGAGAGGAGGCGGUUGCCCCACCUCAGGAGCAGGAAGAGGUUAAGAACCCCUGGCUUAAAGGAUUGGCAUGUUAUGUGCUCGGAGAUGCCCUUCUGCACAACACUGUUAUAAAGAGCGGUUAUCAGGGAUUUGCUGCUGAUUGGCCCAUUGAAUUGUUAACAAAAAGACAAGCACUUUCCAGAAGAAGAACAACCAAG